AAACCAACCGGGAUUGCCUCAGUAACGGCGAGUGAAGCGGCAAAAGCUCAAAUUUGAAAUCUGGCUCCUUCGGGGUCCGAGUUGUAAUUUGAAGAAGCGACUUUGGUGUGGGCUCUUGUCUAUGUUCCUUGGAACAGGACGUCACAGAGGGUGAGAAUCCCGUGCGAUGAGAAGCCCAUUGCCGUGUAAAGCGUUUUCGACGAGUCGAGUUGUUUGGGAAUGCAGCUCUAAGUGGGUGGUAAAUUCCAUCUAAAGCUAAAUAUUGGCGAGAGACCGAUAGCGAACAAGUACAGUGAUGGAAAGAUGAAAAGAACUUUGAAAAGAGAGUGAAAAAGUACGUGAAAUUGUUGAAAGGGAAGGGCUUGAGAUCAGACUUUGUUUUUCCAUGGUGCUCUUUCGGGGGCGCCCUCUGGGUCUACAGGGCCAGCAUGGGUUCUGCGGGCGAGACAAUAGCGCAGGAACGUGGCUCUGCUUCGGUGGAGUGUUAUAGCCUGGGCAGAUGUCGCCACGCGGGACCGAGGACUGCGGUACUAGGAUGCUGGCAUAAUGAUCUUAAGCCGCCC
rnacentral:rRNA from 2 species